GAACUGAGAAAUACUUGGAGCGAUCAAAGAACAGACUGAUGCAAGACCCAAUUUUUUUUUUUUUUGACCAUCUGGAAAGCAGAGGAAAAAAAUGAUGAUUGUUCAUCUGGAAAGAAGCCCAAGUUUAAUGGGUUUCCGUUUUCCUCGUGGGAAUUUGCCGCUGCAAUCGAUGUCUUCUUGGUCUUCUCCGCUGGUCUUUUCUGCAUAUACUUGACCAUGCCCCCCACUGAAUAUGGAAAACUGAAGCUGGGAAGGACCAUCUCGGAUCUUCAGAUGCUUAAGUGGGUUUUCUCCUUCUUUUUUCUCUAUUUUUCUUUGUUCUCCAUUUUUUAUCAUGCUAUCUUCUUCUUUUCUAUAAUGCAAGAGUCAUCGGUUUUUGUGAAUGUUCUUCCAAAAAGGUACGAUUUAAUAGAGAAAUAUUUCAAAGUGUAAGAAUCCAUUACUGUUUAAUAGAAGUUGCCUCUAAGUUAUGCCAUGAUGACGUAAAUGCAUUUACCACGAAGGACAGGACUUCGGAGGUAAGGAAAUCAAUUUUUUUUAAUACUGGACAUGCUUAACAAGCAUCAAUGGAGAUGAUGGAAAUUUUUUUAAUUAUUAUUUUUCUAAAAACUCAAGUUCUCAAGGAGAUUGAAGGGCUUAAUUACAAGAGUUAGAAAAGAUGAUGCAAGAGGGUGGAAGACCUUUUUGACAUAAAAGGGAUCAAUUUUAUACUCUUCCAGAUUCAAAUUGGGAAGCAACAAACUCUUAUACAUAUGUUUUGUUUUUUAUUGUCUUUUAUUAGUUUUGUUAGAUAUCUUAUUUCUAAAUAUGAAAUUUUAGUGUGUUACUUUACAUUGAAAACAAUUUUGUUUGGAAUAUAUGUAUUGUACAUUAUGGCAUUGCAAGAAAUAUAUAAGAUCAAAAUGCAAUUACAUUACUAGACAAAUAAUAGGCUCUAUAAAAUUUAGCAAUUUCACUUCAAAAGUGUUAUAAAAUUUAGCAACAGUUCUGUGACUUUGUUUAUGAUCCUCUCUUUGAUAUUGCAGAAUUUCGAUAGUAAACUAGUUGUCAAUUAUGCUUGUUCUAUGGCGUGGGGUUAACACAUCCGGUGAUGGAUGAGUUCAUUUCAUUUCAUAGAUAUGCUGCUGGCAUGAUGGGCGAAGAAGACUUCCAUUAAUUUUAGAGUAGGAUUUAGAAAUGAAUAUACAAGACUGAACAAAGCAAGCACUAAUUCUUUCAUCUUCUUUUUGUAAAUUUUACUGAAAUCAUUCAACUUACAAAUGUUGGUUGUGAAUUGUAUUGAUAAUUUUUUUUCCAUUUGAAUACAACAAUGGAUAAUGAUACCAUAACAAAUAGACAAGCUUUUUUUCCUUUUAUUGCAGGCAAAAACUGCAAACAAUGUACUAUCACUUGAUUUUUUUUGCUACUAUAGAAAUUCUAGACUUGAAAAAGAAAAGUAAAAAACAAAACUAAGAAACACAAGUAUUCAUAGUUGUCUUUUACAGUUUAUCUUUAACAACCAACAAAAGGGAAAAAGAAAAGCAAACAGCAUCUACAAAGCCUUCGAUUUAUUGAUCACAUUGCACUCCCAACUCCCAACUCCCAAACCCAUUUGACAAUGAAAGAGACUAAAGGAAACAAAGAAAAAAAAAAGUUGAAAAUGCAUAACUCAGCAGCAGCAGCACUUCUAAUCUUGAUUUUUCUACCAAAUAUCCAGCUGAAAGUAACUUAUUGAUGCUUUCUUGGUCCUUCUCUGAGCUCUCUCCUCCAACUUUCUUAUCCUCUGGGGCAAUUUACACACAUAACCUUCUGCUUUGUGGCCCUCACUUGAAAGACCACUCAACUUCUCAAUCUUCUAUCUUCCAACUAGAAACUCCAUGAUAUCAACAUAAUCCUUUCCUUGAUAGUGUAAACUUCAAGCUUUUGAGUAAUCAUGUGUUACGUAUACUGUUGAAAACCAGGUUCUCUAGUAAGAGGAACACAAAGCUAAGCCACAGAAGCCUGCGAUCAUCGCUACUAUACAACCAUAAAGAUAACUUAUAGCAAAUCCACCACUACCAUAAGCCAUACCAUAAGAAAAGUAAAUGUUAUGUACGCAACUCUCAGAAGAACUACCCACAUAACAAAACUCCCUAUGAUCGUUUUCGAUAAAAUCCUAACCAAAUUUUAACAACAAAAACUGUAUCAUCAUCACCCAUAACAAACCACCUCACAUCCUUCAUACCCAUUUCAUUACAACAUUACAACAUUUCAUUCCGAAGAACGUAAAUAAUUUAAUUCAAUCACAUAAUUAGCAGGCAUCCCAGAAAAGAAACUUACUCAAAUCAUGGAAUAAAAAUUUGUUGGCAAUGUAUUACCCCAAAUCAAUUUAUGAAAGUUUCUAAUAAUUUCAAGCACCCAAAUCCGAUCAG